UACGUAGGUGGCAAGCGUUGUCCGGAUUUACUGGGCGUAAAGCGCGCGCAGGCGGACUGAUCAGUCUGGGGUGAAAGCCCCCGGCUCAACUGGGGAGGGUCACUCGAUACUGAUCGACUCGAAGGCAGGAGAGGGAAGUGGAAUUCCCGGUGUAGUGGUGAAAUGCGUAGAUAUCGGGAGGAACACCAGUGGCGAAGGCGACUUCCUGGCCUGUUCUUGACGCUGAGGCGCGAAAGCUAGGGGAGCAAACGGG
rnacentral:rRNA from 1 species